rnacentral:rRNA from 1 species
ACGGGAGGCAGCAGUGGGGAAUAUUGGGCAAUGGGCGAAAGCCUGACCCAGCAACGCCGCGUGAGUGAAGAAGGCCCUCGGGUUGUAAAACUCUUUUACCAGGGACGAAACAAAUGACGGUACCUGGAGAAAAAGCAACGGCUAACUACGUGCCAGCAGCCGCGGUAAUACGUAGGUUGCAAGCGUUGUCCGGAUUUACUGGGUGUAAAGGGCGUGUAGGCGGAGAUUCAAGUCAGAUGUGAAAUCCCGGGGCUCAACCCCGGAACUGCAUUUGAAACUGUAUCCCUUGAGUAUCGGAGAGGCAAGCGGAAUUCCUAGUGUAGCGGUGAAAUGCGUAGAUAUUAGGAGGAACAUCAGUGGCGAAGGCGGCUUACUGGGCUUUAACUGACGCUGAGGCUCGAAAGCGUGGGGAGCAAACAGGAUUAGAUACCCUGGUA